UGAAAAUAACGUUUAAAUACCUGAAGGGAGAGGCAGAUGACGUAUUUAAUUCCUUUUUUUCCCUAGUCCUGCCUGCUCCCUCGGCAGCCACCAGUCUACUUGUCGUCUGUGCCCACUCUGUUGACUUCUCCCAUCACUCGGGUGUGUUCAACAAUUCCUUUCAAGGGUAUGAAAAGGAGGUCCUUAGCCCUGGUGAUGGAGGCUGCUGCAGCUACAGGACUACCUGUGUCUUUAGUUAAGAUGAAUGUGGUGAAAAAGGUUGGUUCCCUUAUUGCUAUUUUGAGGAGAGGACCGUAAUUCGAUGUCUGGGGCAUGAGUUAACCAUCAAGCGACCGUCAUCUUAUGGAAAGAAACAGCUGGAAGACAUACUGGCAAAGGCAGGGGACUUCAAAUUCGAAAUUAUUUUUUCUCAUUCUGUCUUGUUUUUGUUCAAUUUUCCAAUGAAAUGUAUACUUGACAUAUACUUGAAAUGUAUACUUGACAUAUACUUGAAAUGUAUACUUGAAAUCCAUAAAAAAUCCUACAAUGUGA